CAGUCGCCGCGGUAAUACGUAGGUGGCAAGCGUUGUCCGGAAUUAUUGGGCGUAAAGGGCUCGCAGGCGGUUUCUUAAGUCUGAUGUGAAAGCCCCCGGCUCAACCGGGGAGGGUCAUUGGAAACUGGGAAACUUGAGUGCAGAAGAGGAGAGUGGAAUUCCGCGUGUAGCGGUGAAAUGCGUAGAGAUGUGGAGGAACACCAGUGGCGAAGGCGACUCUCUGGUCUGUAACUGACGCUGAGGAGCGAAAGCGUGGGGAGCGAACAGGAUUAGAUACCCGUGUAGUCCCUGUCUCUUAUAC
rnacentral:rRNA from 1 species